UCGAUGUGGAAACCGAGGCCGAAUGGU
rnacentral:sRNA from 1 species